GACGAACGCUGGCGGCGUGCUUAACACAUGCAAGUCGAACGGAAAGGCCCUGCUUUUGUGGGGUGCUCGAGUGGCGAACGGGUGAGUAACACGUGAGUAACCUGCCCUUGACUUUGGGAUAACUUCAGGAAACUGGGGCUAAUACCGGAUAGGAGCUCCUGCUGCAUGGUGGGGGUUGGAAAGUUUCGGCGGUUGGGGAUGGACUCGCGGCUUAUCAGCUUGUUGGUGGGGUAGUGGCUUACCAAGGCUUUGACGGGUAGCCGGCCUGAGAGGGAGACCGGCCACAUUGGGACUGAGAUACGGCCCAGACUCCUACGGGAGGCAGCAGUGGGGAGUAUUGCACAAUGGGCGGAAGCCUGAUGCAGCAACGCCGCGUGCGGGAUGACGGCCUUCGGGUUGUAAACCGCUUUCGCCUGUGACGAAGCGUGAGUGACGGUAAUGGGUAAAGAAGCACCGGCUAACUACGUG
rnacentral:rRNA from 1 species